rnacentral:rRNA from 1 species
UACGUAAGUGGCGAGCGUUAUCCGGAAUUACUGGGCGUAAAGCGUGCGUAGGCGGUUUAGUGCGUGGGAAUUGAAAGCCCGGGGCUCAACUCCGGAUCCGGUUCCCAAACUGCUAGACUUGAGCGUAUCAGAGGAGAGCGGAAUUCCCGGUGUAGCGGUAAUAUGCGUAGAUAUCGGGAGGAACACCAGUGGCGAAGGCGGCUCUCUGGGGUAUUGCUGACGCUGAGGCACGAAAGCCAGGGGAGCGAACGGG